GUCCCUGUAGCACAAUGGAUUGCGCGUUGGAAUUCUAUUCCAAAGGUUGUGGGUUCCAAUCCCGCCUGGGAUA